GACGAACGCUGGCGGCGUGCCUAAUACAUGCAAGUAGAACGCUGAAGAGAGGAGCUUGCUCUUCUUGGAUGAGUUGCGAACGGGUGAGUAACGCGUAGGUAACCUGCCUUGUAGCGGGGGAUAACUAUUGGAAACGAUAGCUAAUACCGCAUAACAAUGGAUGACACAUGUCAUUUAUUUGAAAGGGGCAAUUGCUCCACUACAAGAUGGACCUGCGUUGUAUUAGCUAGUAGGUGAGGUAACGGCUCACCUAGGCGACGAUACAUAGCCGACCUGAGAGGGUGAUCGGCCACACUGGGACUGAGACACGGCCCAGACUCCUACGGGAGGCAGCAGUAGGGAAUCUUCGGCAAUGGGGGCAACCCUGACCGAGCAACGCCGCGUGAGUGAAGAAGGUUUUCGGAUCGUAAAGCUCUGUUGUAAGUCAAGAACGAGUGUGAGAGUGGAAAGUUCACACUGUGACGGUAGCUUACCAGAAAGGGACGGCUAACUACGUGCCCGCAGCCGCGGUAAUACGUAGGUCCCGAGCGUUGUCCGGAUUUAUUGGGCGUAAAGCGAGCGCAGGCGGUUUGAUAAGUCUGAAGUUAAAGGCUGUGGCUCAACCAUAGUUCGCUUUGGAAACUGUCAAACUUGAGUGCAGAAGGGGAGAGUGGAAUUCCAUGUGUAGCGGUGAAAUGCGUAGAUAUAUGGAGGAACACCGGUGGCGAAAGCGGCUCUCUGGUCUGUAACUGACGCUGAGGCUCGAAAGCGUGGGGAGCGAACAGGAUUAGAUACCCUGGUAGUCCACGCCGUAAACGAUGAGUGCUAGGUGUUGGAUCCUUUCCGGGAUUCAGUGCCGCAGCUAACGCAUUAAGCACUCCGCCUGGGGAGUACGACCGCAAGGUUGAAACUCAAAGGAAUUGACGGGGGCCCGCACAAGCGGUGGAGCAUGUGGUUUAAUUCGAAGCAACGCGAAGAACCUUACCAGGUCUUGACAUCCCGAUGCUAUUUCUAGAGAUAGAAAGUUACUUCGGUACAUCGGUGACAGGUGGUGCAUGGUUGUCGUCAGCUCGUGUCGUGAGAUGUUGGGUUAAGUCCCGCAACGAGCGCAACCCCUAUUGUUAGUUGCCAUCAUUCAGUUGGGCACUCUAGCGAGACUGCCGGUAAUAAACCGGAGGAAGGUGGGGAUGACGUCAAAUCAUCAUGCCCCUUAUGACCUGGGCUACACACGUGCUACAAUGGUUGGUACAACGAGUUGCGAGUCGGUGACGGCAAGCUAAUCUCUUAAAGCCAAUCUCAGUUCGGAUUGUAGGCUGCAACUCGCCUACAUGAAGUCGGAAUCGCUAGUAAUCGCGGAUCAGCACGCCGCGGUGAAUACGUUCCCGGGCCU
rnacentral:rRNA from 1 species